UACGUAGGGGGCAAGCGUUGUCCGGAUUUACUGGGCGUAAAGCGCGCGUAGGCGGCUAAUUAAGUCAAAUGUGAAAUCCCCGAGCUUAACUUGGGAAUUGCAUUCGAUACUGGUUAGCUAGAGUGUGGGAGAGGAUGGUAGAAUUCCAGGUGUAGCGGUGAAAUGCGUAGAGAUCUGGAGGAAUACCGAUGGCGAAGGCAGCCAUCUGGCCUAACACUGACGCUGAGGUGCGAAAGCAUGGGGAGCAAACAGGG
rnacentral:rRNA from 1 species